ensembl:lncRNA
GUUGGAUUGAACUGAUUUCUGUGUGCCUCUCUGCACUUACAUCUUUUUUAUUUUUUUGAUGUGUUGGAUCUCAUCGGGUGUCCUUGUGACCGCUGGGACUCUUUUGUUCCAUCCUGCUUGUUCUGUCCUUUUGGUAUUCAGCGAAGCUCAACAAAACCGGGUUACAGAGGGAGUGACGCUGAGGUGAAAGCGGGAGAGAAAUGGAGAGGGGGAGAGACUGUGUUACUGUCAGAGCCGACACUGGGUAAAAGGAGGAAGGGGCAUCUUCAGUCACCUGGACCCGACUGGCACGCCACGGAGGAAACAAAGCCAGAGAGCAGUCCGGUGUGUAAUCAUCAUAAGAACUGA